AUUGAACGCUGGCGGCAUGCCUUACACAUGCAAGUCGAACGGUAACAGGUUAAGCUGACGAGUGGCGAACGGGUGAGUAAUACAUCGGAACGUGCCCAGACGUGGGGGAUAGCUCGGCGAAAGCCGGAUUAAUACCGCAUGUGAUCUGAGGAUGAAAGCGGGGGACCGUAAGGCCUCGCGCGUUUGGAGCGGCCGAUGGCAGAUUAGGUAGUUGGUGGGGUAAAGGCUUACCAAGCCUACGAUCUGUAGCUGGUCUGAGAGGACGGCCAGCCACACUGGGACUGAGACACGGCCCAGACGCCUGCGGGAGGCAGCAGUGGGGAAUUUUGGACAAUGGGCGAAAGCCUGAUCCAGCAAUGCCGCGUGCAGGAUGAAGGCCUUCGGGUUGUAAACUGCUUUUGUACGGAACGAAAAGGCGCCUACUAAUACUGGGUGUUGAUGACGGUACCGUAAGAAUAAGCACCGGCUAACUACGUGCCAGCCGCCGCGGUAACAC
rnacentral:rRNA from 1 species